UUUUCCUCAGGCCUGCCAGAGGUGAACUGUCCAUUGUUCAAUACCCUUAACCAUAUAGCAGAUACAUGAUCUCCCCAUAUCUGGGGAUGGUGGUUUCAAAGAGGGGCAUCUCCUCUAGAUGCCCUAAUGGUAGGAGUCACUCCAGUUUCACAGAGGUGCCCUCUUUCCUCCUGUACAUUAUGGAAUGAGGUUUUAGGAAUGUAUCCUCUGAUGUCCUCUUGAGUUUCCUGCAGGUUCUGGAGAACCCCAACAUGGGUGAUUAAGAGCGUGGGCUGUAGAGUCAGACUACUUAGAAUCAGAUCCUGACUCCACAUACCAGCUAUGUGACCUUGGGCAAGUGACUUCACCUCUCUAAGCCUGUUUCCUUAUCUGUAAAUUGGGAUAGUAAUACUACUCAGGGUUGUUAGGAGGAUUAAGUGAGAUCUGUCCCUGCCACAUAGCCCUCAGAAAAACAUUAACUACUGUGAUUGGUGUUAGAGCUCAGAGACAAAAUGGCUGGACAUUCCUUUCUUUGAAUGACAUUGAGCAGCUCUGUGUACACAGAUAGGGCUGCUAUCUCCUGGCAUAGACUUCUGCCCCUUUCACAGUCAUGCUCCCUGUCAUACCUGCAGGAGCAUUUUGGUUUUAGUCCUUGUCCCUUGAAAUUCUAAAUGUCUGGUUUGAGAAACUGUGUUGCUGAUAGAACUACUUUCCCCAGGUCAGUACCCUCACUUCUUUCCUGGGAAGACGUAUCAUUUUCUCAUCAUCCUUCCAGCUAAAUUUAGGACUCCUGUUUUUCUUGUUAGGAUUCUGAUCCAUUCUUCCCAUCCCCACUCAUGUGAACUCUCAAGUUCUUUCUGACUACUCUCAUAAUGGCCAUCUCUUUGGUACUAAGAGCCACUGGCCAAACUAGAUUUCUUUUUUCUCCCCAUACUUCAAAGACCCCUGUUCCAGCUAGCCCUCUCCUACUUAGAGGGCCAAUCACUUUGGCCUUUAUUCCAUUUUUCCUUCUAAGUCUCUAGUCCCUGUCACUCCAAGACUCCCACUACCUGUCACCCAGUGGAUCAGAUACAUUAUUUCUGGCUGACUUUUUUAGAGGGUUACCCUGCCUUCUCACGUCUUCACCAUUCAGAAGCAACCUCAUCAGUCCACCUCAAACUCUCUGUCCUCUUCCGAGAAGACAGCUUAAGUGCAUGGAGGUGCAGACUGUACCACACAUUCACCCUAGUCAGGUUUGAUAGCUUUUUGGUUCCAGAGGAGUACCAAGAGAAAAAAGAAAACAGGGUUGAAGCAGCGUUCCUGAUGCAGGCUGGCACGUGGGAGGCAGGGCCGUGGGCUGCUCUCUUGGCUGGAGCAGGUGGAUUAGAAAGCCUGUCUAGCACAAGGGGCCAAAAGCCUUGUCAGUGGUCAGUAGCUCUGCUGCUGUCUUUCUGGAUGGGGGCCACCAGCUGACACCCUGGAAAUCUGGACCAUAGACUACCUUCUGCUCCUGCAACCUGUAGCCAACCCAAUAGGGGGCGGACAUGAGUGGGGAGCUCGAAGCUAUGACAGUAGUGAUGCUGGAAGGCAAAGGGGGCCCAGCAUGGAUUGGUGUGUUUAAGGUAAUGGGGACUGGAGAAGUGCGAGUUAGCCGCCUGCAGUGAAGAUGACGUAGACUAGCCUCCUGGAGAACUAGAAGAAGAAGAGAAG
ensembl:lncRNA